rnacentral:rRNA from 1 species
GACGAACGCUGGCGGCGUGCUUAACACAUGCAAGUCGAGCGGGGAUAGAUGCUGGAAGGUUUCGGCCGGAAGGUAUUUAUUCUAGCGGCGGACGGGUGAGUAACGCGUGAGCAAUCUGUCCCAGACAGGGGGAUAACACUUGGAAACAGGUGCUAAUACCGCAUAAGACCACGGUAUCGCAUGGUACUGAGGUAGAAGGAGCAAUCCGGUCUGGGGUGAGCUCGCGUCCGAUUAGCUAGUUGGUGAGGUAACGGCCCACCAAGGCGACGAUCGGUAGCCGACCUGAGAGGGUGAUCGGUCACAUUGGAACUGAGACACAGUCCAA